CACAAUUGAUCUAUAGUUAUGCCGUCUACUUUAAAUAAUGUAUCACAUGCUUUGAUGGCAGUGGUGCGUGCUACCUCACUGUCUGAGGUGUUGUAAUACUCUGAUGACUCUCACUUGCUGGGAGCCACACAAAAGGCUGACCAAGCGACAAGGUUCUCACUGGCCUCGGUCGUGUUCAGCUCCCUCCCCCCGACUCCCACAUCUCUGCACAUCAAUACAGCUGGGCCAGCCUGCACUGCAGCCGUUAUAUAAUGAUGCUCCUGCCAACAAACGCUCAUAGAGACAGCCCAUUUACCAAAGAAUAGUCAGGAUUAAUUAGGAGAUGACACACCUCUAAUAUGUGUGUGUGUGUGUGUGUGUGUGUGUGUGUGUGUGUGGCAACAGAAGCAGAAAAAGGAAAAGAUAAGGCAAUGCUUAAAGUCCAGGGGAUUUAUUAAGAUCUUAAAUAUGCUAUCAGAAAAAAAAUAUGUGUUUAAGUGUUAAUAAACUGUGCUAUCUCAUGCUAAAUUAACCAUUUUUUAAUGUAUAUUGGGAUACAUUUAUUCUCGAUAAAUUGCUGUUUUUUAUAUAAAUAUAUGAAUUGAAUUUUAUUAUUAUUUAAGCAGUUGUUUAUUACUUUUUAAAAGGGGAGAAUAUGAUGGUAACAUGGUUGGUGCACAACCUGGGGUCACAACACGAUACAUUAUGUCAACUAAAAUAUNGUUUCGGAUAAAGUUAAUAAUGACAGUAUUGCAUUUUUUAAAGUAUGUUGCUUCAAAAACUCAGAAUUAUUUAUCAUAUCAUCCUUGUGUUUUCAGGCUGGUAAUGGGUUAAGAAGAAACGUUUCACUGCUUUUCUGGCUUGUCCUAGAUGCCAACGGAGGACCGUGCAGACCUACAUGAUAUGUUUCUCAUGUAUGUGAAUCCCCAUCAGGACCAUCUGCCAGUACUUGGACAUGAUUCAUUACAUAUAAAGGUGAUAUUAAAGCAGAUGUUAGGUGAGUUAACUUCAGCUUCAAUUAUUGACAGAUCAGCAGUCUCAAGGUCAGAAGCUGCACUCAAGUCAAAGGCAGAUCUGAGACCCAAACAAGUUUAUUUUAAAAUUAGUAAAAUCUAUCAAUAUUACAUCUCUUGUUAAUGCAAUUAUAAAAAUAAUGUGCAUAAUCAGUUCUCCCGAAACAUAUAAUGUCUAAUUUACAUUUUAUUGGCCUAAAAGCUGUAGCAGUUUAACUGCCACAGCUUCUCCACUGUAAUAAAAAAACAAAUUGUCAGUUUCA
ensembl:lncRNA